rnacentral:rRNA from 1 species
UACGUAGGGGGCAAGCGUUGUCCGGAAUCAUUGGGCGUAAAGAGCGCGCAGGCGGCUUGGCAAGUCGGGUGUGAAAUCCCGGGGCUCAACCCCGGGACUGCAUUCGAUACUGUCGGGCUAGAGUCCGGAAGAGGCGAGUGGAAUUCCCGGUGUAGCGGUGAAAUGCGCAGAUAUCGGGAAGAACACCCGUGGCGAAGGCGGUUCUCUGGGACGGUACUGACGCUGAGACGCGAAAGCGUGGGGAGCGAACAGG